ensembl:miRNA microRNA 513b
GUGUACAGUGCCUUUCACAAGGAGGUGUCAUUUAUGUGAACUAAAAUGUAAAUGUCACCUUUUUGAGAAGAGUAAUGUACAGCA